AUCAUCCCCCGAACUCCCUCCCAGGUAUUCUCAUCUGAUCCAGCUUACAAUACCGGAGAUCCGUAACUACUUUAUAAAAGCACUUACUAGACCUAACCCAGAUAACCGCGGCUGUAGGCAGCUGCUCUUAAAUUCUCGAUUCUAACUAAAUGCAAUGUACAGAAAGCUCUAGAUCUCUCUGUUGUUGAGCUAGUGAAGGAUCUAAUUGGUUGAUUGUAGAGGGACCACCGAUCACUGUCUUCUGAUGCCAAAGUUCUGUUGUUUGUAAACACUGAAGAUGCUAAGUUGCUGAUUUUAUUUUCUUGUUCUUGGUAUUGCAACACUGUUAGGGCACAGAGGAAGUGUGAAAUCCAUCUGUUCUCAUCCAACAAACCCUGG